CGCUGGCGGCGUGCCUAAUACAUGCAAGUAGAACGCUGAAGAGAGGAGCUUGCUCUUCUUGGAUGAGUUGCGAACGGGUGAGUAACGCGUAGGUAACCUGCCUUGUAGCGGGGGAUAACUAUUGGAAACGAUAGCUAAUACCGCAUAACAAUGGAUGACACAUGUCAUUUAUUUGAAAGGGGCAAAUGCUCCACUACAAGAUGGACCUGCGUUGUAUUAGCUAGUAGGUGAGGUAACGGCUCACCUAGGCGACGAUACAUAGCCGACCUGAGAGGGUGAUCGGCCACACUGGGACUGAGACACGGCCCAGACUCCUACGGGAGGCAGCAGUAGGGAAUCUUCGGCAAUGGGGGCAACCCUGACCGAGCAACGCCGCGUGAGUGAAGAAGGUUUUCGGAUCGUAAAGCUCUGUUGUAAGUCAAGAACGAGUGUGAGAGUGGAAAGUUCACACUGUGACGGUAGCUUACCAGAAAGGGACGGCUAACUACGUGCCAGCAGCCGCGGUAAUACGUAGGUCCCGAGCGUUGUCCGGAUUUAUUGGGCGUAAAGCGAGCGCAGGCGGUUUGAUAAGUCUGAAGUUAAAGGCUGUGGCUCAACCAUAGUUCGCUUUGGAAACUGUCAAACUUGAGUGCAGAAGGGGAGAGUGGAAUUCCAUGUGUAGCGGUGAAAUGCGUAGAUAUAUGGAGGAACACCGGUGGCGACAGCGGCUCUCUGGUCUGUAACUGACGCUGAGGCUCGAAAGCGUGGGGAGCGAACAGGAUUAGAUACCCUGGUAGUCCACGCCGUAAACGAUGAGUGCUAGGUGUUGGAUCCUUUCCGGGAUUCAGUGCCGCAGCUAACGCAUUAAGCACUCCGCCUGGGGGGUACGACCGCAAGGUUGAAACUCAAAGGAAUUGACGGGGGCCCGCACAAGCGGUGGAGCAUGUGGUUUAAUUCGAAGCAACGCGAAGAACCUUACCAGGUCUUGACACCCCGAUGCUAUUUCUAGAGAUAGAAAGUUACUUCGGUACAUCGGUGACAGGUGGUGCAUGGUUGUCGUCAGCUCGUGUCGUGAGAUGUUGGGUUAAGUCCCGCAACGAGCGCAACCCCUAUUGUUAGUUGCCAUCAUUCAGUUGGGCACUCUAGCGAGACUGCCGGUAAUAAACCGGAGGAAGGUGGGGAUGACGUCAAAUCAUCAUGCCCCUUAUGACCUGGGCUACACACGUGCUACAAUGGUUGGUACAACGAGUUGCGAGUCGGUGACGGCAAGCUAAUCUCUUAAAGCCAAUCUCAGUUCGGAUUGUAGGCUGCAACUCGCCUACAUGAAGUCGGAAUCGCUAGUAAUCGCGGAUCAGCACGCCGCGGUGAAUACGUUCCCGGGCCUUGUACACACCGCCCGUCACACCACGAGAGUUUGUAACACCCGAAGUCGGUGAGGUAACCUUUUGGAGCCAGCCGCCUAAGGUGGGAUAGAUGAUUGGG
rnacentral:rRNA from 1 species